rfam:Ipomoea nil DNA, scaffold: scaffold0415, cultivar: Tokyo-kokei standard.
GACUCCAUGGCCCAAUGGAUAAGGUGCUGGUCUAUGAAAACAGAUAUUUAGGGUUCGAUCCCUAGUGGAGUCG